rnacentral:tRNA from 1 species
GGUAGUUCAGUUUGGUUGAAUACCGGCCUGUCACGCCGGGGUCCGCGGUUCGUGAGUCCCGUCCACAUCCGCCA